GUGUCAGCAGCCGCGGUAAUACGUAGGGGGCUAGCGUUGUCCGGAUUUAUUGGGCGUAAAGAGCGUGUAGGCGGCCAGAUAGGUCUGCUGUGAAAACUCGAGGCUCAACCUCGAGCUGUCGGCGGAAACCAUUUGGCUAGAGUCCGGAAGAGGAAAGUGGAAUUCCUGGUGUAGCGGUGAAAUGCGCAGAUAUCAGGAAGAACACCCGUGGCGAAGGCGGCUUUCUGGGACGGUACUGACGCUGAGACGCGAAAGCGUGGGGAGCGAACAGGAUUAGAUACCCUGGUAGUCC
rnacentral:rRNA from 1 species